rnacentral:rRNA from 1 species
GCAUUCAGUUGCCAUCGGGUGAAGCCGGGCACUCUGGAAGGACUGCCAUCGACAAGAUGGAGGAAGGUGGGGACGACGUCAAGUCAUCAUGGCCCUUAUGUCCAGGGCGACACACGUGCUACAAUGGCCGGCACAACGGGAAGCGAGUUCGCGAGGACGAGCGGAUCCCUUAAAGCCGGUCGCAGUUCGGAUUGAAGUCUGCAACUCGACUUCAUGAAGCUGGAAUCGCUAGUAAUCGCAGAUCAGCCAAGCUGCGGUGAAUACGUUCCCGGGCCUU